UGGGGAAUAUUGGACAAUGGGCGCAAGCCUGAUCCAGCCAUGCCGCGUGAGUGAUGAAGGCCUUAGGGUUGUAAAGCUCUUUCGCGCGCGACGAUAAUGACGGUAGCGUGAGAAGAAGCCCCGGCUAACUUCGUGCCAGCAGCCGCGGUAAUACGAAGGGGGCUAGCGUUGUUCGGAAUCACUGGGCGUAAAGCGCAUGCAGGCGGAUUGUUAAGUCGGGGGUGAAAUCCCGAGGCUCAACCUCGGAACUGCCUUCGAUACUGGCAAUCUUGAGUCCGGGAGAGGUGAGUGGAACUGCGAGUGUAGAGGUGAAAUUCGUAGAUAUUCGCAAGAACACCAGUGGCGAAGGCGGCUCACUGGCCCGGUACUGACGCUGAGGUGCGAAAGCGUGGGGAGCAAAC
rnacentral:rRNA from 1 species